GAGCAGUGACGAUUAUUGUGCUCACAUUGUGAAGUUGGGGUCUUUACAACACUCUGAUAUAAGUGACAAAACGUAGUGCAUUUGAGUUC